rnacentral:rRNA from 1 species
AUGAUUUGGCCCCAUAAUGCGUCUGGCCGCUUCUCUGUUAAAUCGCUUUACGCCAAGCUUGUUUCUGGCUCUACCACUUUCAAGUUCAAGGUGAUCUGGCGGGCUCGCAUCCCCCUUAAGAUUAAGAUCUUUAUGUGGCAAGCUCUUAGAGGGCGUCUACCGGCGGCUGACCAGAUCCGUAAGCGAAACGGACCGGGCUCCGAUAGUUGUGCUUUGUGUGGUCAUAGAGAGGAUACAGACCACAUCUUCUUCAGCUGUGUCUUGGCCAAACUUUUUUGGUGUUGUAUCAGGUUCUGGCUUAAUUUUCCGUGGCGGCCUGCUUCCUUCUCAGAUCUUCAACUGUUGGCCUCUAACCUGGUUGGGGCUGAGUGGAGAUUGUUCUGGGUAGGAUUUGCAGACAUCUGUUGGACCCUCUAG